GGAUUGCAGGCUGCAACUCGCCUGUAUGAAGUCGGAAUUGCUAGUAAUCGCGGAUCAGCAUGCCGCGGUGAAUACGUUCCCGGGCCUUGUACACACCGCCCGUCACACCAUGAGAGCCGGGAACACCCGAAGUCCGUAGUCUAACCGCAAGGAGGACGCGGCCGAAGGUGGGUUUGGUAAUUGGGGUGAAGUCGUAACAAGGUAGC
rnacentral:rRNA from 1 species